rnacentral:rRNA from 1 species
GACGAACGCUGGCGGCGUGCUUAACACAUGCGAGUCGAACGGAAAGGCCCUGCUUUUGUGGGGUGCUCGAGUGGCGAACGGGUGAGUAACACGUGAGCAACCUGCCCUUGACUUUGGGAUAACUUCAGGAAACUGGGGCUAAUACCGGAUAGGAGCUCCUGCUGCAUGGUGGGGGUUGGAAAGUUUCGGCGGUUGGGGAUGGACUCGCGGCUUAUCAGCUUGUUGGUGGGGUAGUGGCUUACCAAGGCUUUGACGGGUAGCCGGCCUGAGAGGGUGACCGGCCACAUUGGGACUGAGAUACGGCCCAGACUCCUACGGGAGGCAGCAGUGGGGAAUAUUGCACAAUGGGCGGAAGCCUGAUGCAGCAACGCCGCGUGCGGGAUGACGGCCUUCGGGUUGUAAACCGCUUUCGCCUGUGACGAAGCGUGAGUGACGGUAAUGGGUAAAGAAGCACCGGCUAACUACGUG